AUAUUGGGGGAAUUUUUUGGAGGUUUAUUGAAUGGAGUACGGGAGGUAUGGUUGAGACGAUUUGCCUUUGAUUUUACGUCGUCUUUCUGUUCUAAUUUGGAUGGUUGCAACACUGCUGCAACACAACUCACAGGCUGAUUGAAUGAGGGUUUCGUUUCCUUCUUUCAUGAGUGGACUGGCAAUGAGGGUUUUUUGUCUUUCUCUUUGUUUGUGUUCACAAUUGCGCCUCGCCCAUAGGGAAUCUUCUUAUGAGAGAGGUAGUGUAGCUACUUAUGUAGAUUAGACUAGGUAGUUAUACAAACGGCGAAUCUAAGUUG
rnacentral:sRNA from 1 species